AAAAAAAAAAAAGAGAGAGAAGAAGUUUGUGCUACUCUCUGGGUGCUGUGUGCUUUUUAUCGUCACUGAUCUUUCUAUUUACUUUUUGUGCAAUUUUGUUUUAUUCAGAACUUGAAGGACGACACUGCAAAUGCAAUGGAACAACUUCAGGAAGCUGAAUCUGAAGCAAAAGCUCUUCGAACAAUGACACAGAGAAUGAUUUUGACCCAUGAAGAGAUGGAGGAGGUGGUUCUAAAGAGAUGUUGGCUAUCUCGAUAUUGGGGCCUAGCUGUACACUAUGGUAAUUUGCUUAAUCAGCAUUUUUUGUGGAUUUAAUCAGUGGUUGUAAUAUGUAGUGUACUGUUUUGAAGUUACAACGCAUCUUUUUAUGAGAAAGAACAUUCUUUUGCAUCUUGGCUUAACAAGUAGAAAAAUACCAUGAUUACUGGCAGUGUACAAAAUGUAGCAAAUUUGAAUUUUGAGAAAGCUCUCCUAGUUCAGUUGACUUAAGAGAU